AUUGAACGCUAGCGGGAUGCUUUACACAUGCAAGUCGAACGAGUGGCGGACGGGUGAGUAAUAUAUCGGAACGUGCCCAGUAGCGGGGGAUAACUACUCGAAAGAGUGUCUAAUACCGCAUACUCUUGGAGCGGCCGAUAUCGGAUUAGCUAGUUGGUGGGGUAAAGGCUCACCAAGGCAACGAUCCGUAGCUGGUUUGAGAGGGCGACGAGCCACAGUGGGACUGGGACACGGGCCGGACACCUACGGGUGGCAGCAGUGGGGAAUGUUGGACAAUGGGGAAAGCCCGGACCCAGACAUCCCGCGUGUAUGAGAAGGCCCUGGGGUGGUAAAGUAUUUUAAGAGGGGAGGCGUUACCGACAGAAGAAGCACCGGCUAACUCCGUGCCAGCAGCCGCGGUAAUAC
rnacentral:rRNA from 1 species